UACGUAGGUGGCAAGCGUUGUCCGGAUUUACUGGGCGUAAAGAGCGCGCAGGCGGUCGUUCAAGUCGCGUGUGAAAGCCCCCGGCUCAACUGGGGAGGGUCACGCGAUACUGAUCGACUCGAAGGCAGGAGAGGGUAGUGGAAUUCCCGGUGUAGUGGUGAAAUGCGUAGAUAUCGGGAGGAACACCAGUGGCGAAGGCGACUACCUGGCCUGUUCUUGACGCUGAGGCGCGAAAGCGUGGGGAGCAAACAGGG
rnacentral:rRNA from 1 species